GCACCUUAUAAAUACCGGCACUGUUGUUCUGUGCGCUCAGUUUAUAUUGAACGGUGCUAUAGAGAACAACUCAUAUAAAACUAACGAAAAAGCUGAUAAAGCGACGAAACACUAAACAUAGAUUUCAAAACAUUCGAGAAACAACAUACAUACAUAUUGCAGAAAGAAAAGAAAAUACAUACAAAUUUUAUAGAGACUUUGAUUUUGGUGUAACAUUUCACUUUUGGGUGGAAACUACAAAGCAAAAAAAUGUUGCGAGGUAGCGUUUUAUUGCUAACACUACUAGCCAUAUUCGGCUAUCUACAGGCGUUGCCAUACUAUGGAGAUUAGAACCUGACGGU
rnacentral:lncRNA from 1 species